rnacentral:rRNA from 16 species
GGAUGCGAUCAUACCAGCACUAAAGUACCGGAUCCCAUCAGAACUCUGAAGUUAAGCGUGCUUGGGCGAGAGUAGUACUAGGAUGGGUGACCUCCAGGAUGGGUGACCUCCUCGGAAGUCCUCGUGUUGCAUUCC